GUCUACGGCCAUGCUACCCUAAACCAGCCCGAUCUCAUCUGAUCUCAGAAGCUAAGUAGGGUUGGGCCUGGUUAGUACUUAGAUGGGAGACCACCUAGGAAGACCAGGUACUGUAGGCU
rnacentral:rRNA from 1 species